UGUAUUAGUCUUCGAUUUGCAUUCACUGGAAACGUGCCUCCGAUUUGUAAAGUUAAUGUGCCUAAAAAACUGCUUCACAUUUGUGCAAAACUAGUUCUAAUAAUCUAACAGGGUCAGCUAAGAGACUUUCUCAAUAGCAUUGCAUGAGGGAGAGGAGAGCACGCUAAAAGAGAGUGGAGAAGAGCGGGACAUUGUUUUUGUGUGUGAGUGGAAAUGUACUCUGACAAUGACGAGUCGCACGAUAACUCUAGUGGAUCACAGCGCAUUCGGAAUGUGUUGACUCUGGAGGAGCGGGUGGCCGUCAUCCGGCAGUACGACAUCGUGCCCAUGUACAGCAAGAUUGCCCGGAACUUCAACUGCAGCUGGGAGCAGAUCAAGAGCAUUGUGUCCAAUCGCGAGGCGAUUCUGGAGUUCCACGAGGCCACCAAUCGCAUGAGCCAACCGGCCAACAAGGACGGCGAACUGCGCCGGCGCAAACUGAACUUUCUGGGCCACUGCCUGUACGAGUAUAUCCAAAGGGCCCAGUUCUAUUUGCACAGCGAUGUGAACGAGGAGAUGAUCCGCAACCGGGCGAUAGAGUUCCGUGACCUGAUGAGAAUCGAGGGCUUUGUGCCGAACAAGCCGUGGAUCAAUCACUUCAAGGCCGCCUACAAUAUAACCCUGUCGAAUCGUCAGAUCACGAUAACCCGUCGACCACCACGAUCGAUGGACUUGAGGGACAUAAUGUCCUAUUGUGGGCGACAUACGUCCAUGGCUUGUAGUUUGGUGCCCCGAUCACCGGAACCCAGCGCUCCCACGACCAGUGACCAAAGGGCCAUCGAUCGACCUUUGUAUCGCACCAAGACAUUGGUCACCACAUCGUGUCAAAAUCAGGCCACCUCGGAUGAGGUGCAUCUGCGACGCAAGCGGAAGAUAACCUUUCUGGAGAAGUGCUUGUACGAGUACAUCCAGCGAUCGCAGCUGCACCACAAGGGCAGACUGGAUUUGGACAACCUGCGAACGGUGGCCAUUAGUUUGAGGGACAUUCUGAAGAUCGAGUCGUUCUUUCCCGACAAAGUGUGGUUCAAUCACUUCAAGAGCCGCUACAACUUUACGUUUUCCGUGGGCGUGCCGAUGACCAAUCGCCGAGUGCCUCUUUCCCUGGACCUUCGGGAUGUAGUCAGUUAUUGUGGUCGGAAUGAACAUAAAAUUACGCUGGCCCACAAGAAAACACAGGAUGAGCUGGGAGCUGGCUUUGUCCACUUACCGCCGGUGGAACAAAAGCCCGAAGAAUUGGAGCCCGAGGAGGAUGACGAUUGUGUCGCAAUCGAAGUGCCGCAGGAACUCAUAGAAAUUAAGGACGAUGAGGAUGACGAGCCACCGGAGAGGAUAGCUAAACGAAGAUUGGAGGAAGAUGAUGGUGAUCCAGUAGCCUGUGGCCUGAAGAUACAAAAGAUUCAAUCACUUAGUGAUAUGCAAAUACCACCCGCCCAUAGUCCCGGUCACUAUUCAGAGACCAGCGAUGAGGCGCAUCUGCCGCGUUGCGUGGAAAGCUACAAGGAUGCACUGCGCCUGCUAAAACCCCUGGAGGAGUUUGCUCUGAUGGAGGAAAACUAUCGAGCCAUCGGACUGCUCACCCAGCUGGAGAAGAUCUUUGAGAGCGGAGCAAAAAAACAUGCCGAAAAGGACACCUCCGUAGAAUAGGAAAACAGCCAUAUACUUGUGCCUUAAGUUCAAAGAUGUACGUACCAUAGGUAGUUUCUAGGUCGCCGACUAUAUCAUAUAGCGCCCAUAGGAGCAGUUGCAAAAAUAAAUGAAAAAAGUAUAACUUUGCUGUUUUUCAAUUUAUUAAAAUACAAUUUAAGGAUUUGAAUUACAGUUUUAAUUUUAUUAAAAUUGGACAACCGAUCACAUAACUGCCAAAUGAACAAUCGCUAAAAUUUAACAGAAAAUCGUAAUAGCGUUUAAAGCUUAGUUAUUUAGUAAAAUAUUUCAUUUUUAUAAAGUAUGUAUUCUUCGGCUUGCCUCUCUUAUUUUUAUUGUUAACUGGCAUGGAUUUUGACAAUUAACUUUAAGUGAUUGUUAUCACCACCUUCUUAUCUUUGCAAGCAAUGCAUUUGUCGGGUACUUGUUUCUUUGGGCAAAUCAAAUAAGUAGUAAUUACAAAUGGAUCUUCAACCAAUCUAUUAUGGUAAAAAACAAUUGAUAAGGGCACUGGGCCAAUCAAUAGAAAGUUUCUUCAACAACAAUAAUCUUUAUAUGAAGAUAAAAGAUGCAUACACUAUUAACAUCGACUUAAAACAUAACGGAAUUAUGUUAGAAGUGCAGGAAAAUCAAGACUAUGAGCUCAAGAAAAGAAUAAACGAACAGAUGCAUUCAAAAACUAUAUCCAUUCUAGGUGAAAAAGUGGCCAACUUGGAAAGUGCAGCUGCAAUAAACGACGCACAACUGAAAGAUAGGAACAAGCGCAUCGCCGAAAUGGAAUCUGAAAUAAAAUUCCUACAUGAAGAACCCGCUAAAUUAAAUGCUGCUCAUCUUGAAAGUAGAGAAGAACUGAAAGAGAAGAAAAGAAUACAAGUGCAGGAAAAUCAAGAUGAAGAGAUCGAGAAAAGAGUUAACGAACAGAUCCAAUCAAAAACUAUAUCCAUACUAGGUGAAAAUGUGACCAACGACGCAUAUAUCCGCUUCAAAAAUAGCGUAAAACUAAAUGAAAGAGAACAAUUUAUAUUGACCAAGUCUUUUUACGAACGGUGUCAUUAUUUACAAACCUUGAAUCUGAGAUGAGGGAAGGACAAAUUUGAAAGUUAAAUUUUUGGAAUAAAAAAUAUUGAAUACUA